UCGGAUGUGGUGUGGUGACACGGCCUCUUUUAGUAGAUGUGAUUCCACUUGUUAGAAACAAUGCCGGGUUCGAAUCCCGGCGUCCGAG